UACGGGGGGGGCAAGCGUUGUUCGGAAUUACUGGGCGUAAAGGGCUCGUAGGCGGCCAACUAAGUCCGACGUGAAAUCCCCAGGCUUAACCUGGGAACUGCGUCUGAUACUGGAUGGCUUGAAUCCGGGAGAGGGAUGCAGAAUUCCAGGUGUAGCGGUGAAAUGCGUAGAUAUCUGGAGGAAUACCGGUGGCGAAGGCGGCAUCCUGGACCGGCAUUGACGCUGAGGAGCGAAAGCUAGGGGAGCAAACGGG
rnacentral:rRNA from 1 species